GGAAGAAGGUCUGUGGAUUGUAAACCUCUUUUGAUAGGGAAGAAGACAGUGACGGUACCUAUCGAAUCAGCCUCGGCUAACUCCGUGCCAGCAGCCGCGGUAAUACGGAGGAGGCAAGCGUUAUCCGGAAUUAUUGGGCGUAAAGAGUCCGUAGGUGGGUAACCAAGUCAGCUGUUAAAUAGUGAAGCUUAACUUCAUAGAGGCGGCUGAAACUGGUGGUCUAGAGUGUGGUAGGGGUAGAGGGAAUUUCCAGUGUAGCGGUGAAAUGCGUAGAUAUUGGAAAGAACACCGGUGGCGAAAGCGCUCUACUGGGCCUGCACUGACACUGAGGGACGAAAGCUAGGGGAGCGAAAGGGAUUAGAUACCCC
rnacentral:rRNA from 1 species